AUGGCUUCUGUAGGUUCAUCCACUACCCUUGCUCUCAAGGCAGCCUUCAUCGCCGCCAUGCUCGCCGUCCUGGUACUGCCUUCCAUGGGGCGCUGCCCGUCACUUGGGCCAGAGGCAGCGCCCACGCCUGCGCCGGCACCGGCGAUACCGUGCAGCGACUGUGACGAAUGGGCAGCGCCCACGCUUGCGCCGACACCGGCGAUCCUGUGCAGCGACUGUGACGAAUGGGCAGCGCCCACGCCUGCGCCGACACCGGCGAUCCUGUGCAGCGACUGUGACGAAUGGGCAGCGCCCACGCCUGCGCCGACACCGGUGAUACUGUGCAGCGACUGUGAUGAAUGGGCAGCGCCCACGCCUGCCCCGACACCGGCGAUACUGUGCAGCGUCUGUGACAAACGCUGCUUCGACACGUGCUAUGCCAACGUCAAGGUUAUGUGCAACAACCCUUGCAAAAUCUACUACGGAUGUAGUGGCUGUUGGAACAAGUACAUGCCCCUGUGCGUCAAACCCUGCGAAAGUGACUGUCGCGCUGCCGCCUGCAUCAGCGGCUAA
rnacentral:rRNA from 1 species